AGAGCAAUGAUUGCCAAAAGGAAGAACUUGCAAAGGGUGCUAUUUUAGAAAAAUAAGGAUUCAGGAUGAAUAACAUGAACAUGGAGCUCAACUCAUUAUGUUUGAAGUCUGGGACCACCACUUCAUGUGAAUACAAUAUCCUUGAAUGAGGACACAGUCAUAGGCUCAACCUCCAUGUAAAGGUAGGAAACCCAGUAAACCAGAUUGAACAAGCAGAAGGCAGUGGGGAAGAAGAUCCGCGCAUAGGAGUCCAUCUUGGCGAUACGGAUAUGUAUCCUCCCAUGUCUCCAAGCUCCUGUUCGGCAGUCUUCGAAACAGCAGAAAAAACUGGCACAGUCCUUGCCGUCCAGACACUCAUACCCAUAUUCUUCAUCUCUCUCUUGAAGGUUCUUCAAUUCCCCUUCUCCUCUGCCUUCUUUUCUUCUGCCAGCUCAUGACCCUGGCUUAAGGAAUCCAAGUGUUUUGUAUCUCUGCAACAAAAUCCACUCCACAAUAGAGAGGACCAGAGGGCUUUGUCCUAAGCCAGUCCUCACAUCCCUGUUUCUACUGCCAGGUGGCAAGGUGAAGCCAUCCUACCUGUCUCCAAGUCACUGAACUCAAUCCAGGGUGCCGUACUCCACCAAAGCAGAGAAGACAAAGAUGAAGCAAACAGAUACGAAGAGAUCCAUUGCCGUGACAUAGGAGACCUUGGGGA